rnacentral:tRNA from 3 species
GUCCCCAUCGUCUAGUGGCCCAGGACCCCGGCCUUUCACGCCGGUAACGCGGGUUCAAACCCCGCUGGGGACGCCA